AGAAUGGCUUCUUGACAGCCACCCUUCCACUGAGACCAUUUCUGAUGAGGCUUCAGUGAACAGUUGCUGAACCAGCUCAAGGUCCAGAUGCAUCUAUCAGACACUGAUUUGCAUCUUUUAGGAAAAGAAUUCCUGCUGCAGCAGGGUGACGACGCCUCAACGCCUUAAAGGACUGUUUAACCAAAGAAGACCAAGGACUGCUUCUACAGUCAUCUGACCCCUGAACAUUUAUGGAGCAGGUGAAUGCUAAGAAGGCUAAGCACUCCUGCUCCUUUGAACAGAGUUAAAUUGUACCUGAAUAACAUGAGUCGUCAGGUUUUGCACAAACAAAAGUGCUGCUGUCAUCGAGACAUGCCAGUGUUAUGUUUUUAGAGGUUUCACUUUUUGAAGAUUUUAAACAUACAACAAUAAUUUGAGAAUUUAUUGAAAGACAUGCAGAACUGAAGCAUAUUCAUUAGCAUUGCUGGAUGUUUGAGCCUUACUGAAUGACAAACCCGUAGGCUGUACUACAGUCUGAGUACUGGAUGAGUAUUGAUGUUGUUUAUUGACAUUUGCAUUUACAAUGUAAGUAAAAAUGACUUUGUCAAAUGGUGCACACAAGCCGUACUACUUUUGAGGGCAAUGUGAGCAUUUGGCCAGUGAGAAGAAUCAUCAUUUAAAGUAUUUCCUGCUUCCUCCUCUCUCCUUUUGCUGGAUGGGGGAAGAAGGGGGGUACAAAUCUUGUUUUGAUACUGACGCUGUCAGGGGGCUAGCCGGAGAGGAUAGUAAACACUGCCUUUGCAGAACAUUUAAAAUCAAUCCUUCAGCCACAGGCCUCGAUACUCCCUUCGCUUCUCUCUCCCCGUCUCUCUUUCCCCGAGCCUUUCUUCCUCUUUUUCUCUCUCCCCUCUCUGUAAUGUGUCUGCUGCUCUCUGAGAAUAGAGGCGGCACUUAAAAGCAGGGCGUCGAGGCUGAGUUUGGUGACAACAGCGGUGGCUUUUAUUAUCAUGCUGAGAUGUGCCCAGCAACGCCCACCAUCAUCACCAACCUCCAGCAAGCACUCAUACCGACUUUCAAGCAUACACAUAAACACAUGUACACAGCCCCAUACGUACACACUCAUAUCACCUUGAUGAGCCAAUAAUCGUGUCAUUAGCCUGUUCGCUUUCAAGGCGGUGGCUCAUUUGCAGGCAUCCAAGCCGUUACCUUUGCUCAUGAUGGCCACGAGAUUAGUUGAAAAUCAUUUUGUUUCCAGCAGUAUUGCUUGAUUAAGUCACCAUUUGCCAGCCAAUAGAAACAGUCAACAAAUACCUCUACCAGAUGACCGCUGAUGCAGGAGCUGAAUACCAAUGAUUGAAAGGCUACAUGAAUAUACACUAACUUAUACAAAUUUCCGGAGCUGAAAAAAUUAUGGCUUAGAAAGUUUCACAGUUAAGAAUCUGUUAUGUGGUCUUCUGCUGCAGUAACCUAUUACUUUCAAGAUUCAACAUGUGGUGUAUUCAGAAACAGUUGUAAUAGGUGCUUUGGGUUUUUUUUUAGUUCAUUGUCACUUUGCUAUCAGCUCGGAGCAGUCGGGCCAUUCUCCCCUGACCCCUGGCAUCAAUGAGGCAUUUUGGCUGAGAGAACAGCCGCUCACUCGAUGUUUUCUCUUUUUUGGACCAAUAGUCUGUGAACCCUAGAGGUGGUUGUGUACCAGCCAGGUAUCACCAACCAUGCCAUAUUCAAAUUCACUUAAGUUACCUUUGUUCC